rnacentral:tRNA from 1 species
AAAGGGGGACCUAAUUCAGGUAAAAGACGAAAAAAAAGUAGUCGCUACCAAGAAUCAAUCCCAAAAGGUCGGAGCGAGGCGAAAUUGGCUUUCAAACUAGGUUCUGGGUUCAAACAAGACCUGAAUCAGGAACAAGGGCUAUUAGCUCAGGUGGUUAGAGCGCACCCCUGAUAAGGGUGAGGUCCCUGGUUCGAGUCCAGGAUGGCCCACCUGCACAGGUGGCAAAAACAAGAGAAGCGAGGAAUCAGCACCUUAUCUUACUUAUAUAGUAAGAGAGAAUGCUGGCUCUGAGUAAAGAGUCCAGAGGAACCUUGAAAACUGCAUAGAGCUAGGUGAAAAAGCCAAAAAAGAAGACCGCAAG